rnacentral:rRNA from 1 species
UACAGAGGUCUCAAGCGUUGUUCGGAUUCAUUGGGCGUAAAGGGUGCGUAGGCGGCGCGGUAAGUCGGGUGUGAAAUCUCGGAGCUUAACUCCGAAACUGCAUUCGAUACCGCCGUGCUUGAGGACUGGAGAGGAGACUGGAAUUUACGGUGUAGCGGUGAAAUGCGUAGAUAUCGUAAGGAAGACCAGUGGCGAGGGCGGGUCUCUGGACAGUUCCUGACGCUGAGGCACGAAGGCCAGGGGAGCAAACGGG